rnacentral:lncRNA from 1 species
ACAACCUGUGAGGAGAAUCAUCAGUUCACGCUGUCAUUGCCAUCAGUUCCUGGAAAUCGUGUGGAGAACUGGCAAUUAUCCUAUCCCUGCACAAAGUGUUUCUGUUUGCCUCAACGCUUGGAUCACUGAAUCCCAAAUGUGCAGUAGGUUUCUGACUUUGUCUGGAGCAAUGACAUAGAUGGCCGUAGAUGUUUCUCAGCACUGGGGCCUGCUUUCCUCAGCCAAACUCACCUUAACAUCACAGAAAAUUGGCAGAAAACACAGGGUCCCACAGAUGUAUGUCAUAUGGCUAGGACCUAGGUGCCACACAGCGGUGCUCUUGACUCCAUGUUGCUCAAAGGCCUGUGCUGGCUGGAGGGAGUUAAAGCAGCAAGCCUACCAGAACUGGCUUUGGAAGGAGGGCUAAGACUCAGCUCUGCAAAGAAGGUGAACCAUCCAGUGGGAUGAGGCAUUUUCUUGCCCGACUGAUCUACUAAGUCAGAUAUGGAAAGAAUCACAGAAAUGAAGGGACCUCAAGAGAGCAUUGAGUCCAAACUCCUGCUAAAGCAGGUACAAAGAAAUAUAUAAUGACAGCUUACAAAAAUCCCAAGUUUUUAUUUUUGUAGCUAUUGUUCCUUCCCAUUUCCUCUGUUUUCUUCUGUCUGUAGAAGAUUCAUCCCGGUUCAUAUCUCAGCAUCCUCCCGGAAUCAGGGACAGAUACAUUUCUCUGGGUCAGUCAUGAAUAUGAAGAGAAGUAAGGCAGAUGGAGAGGAGAUGCACCUUCUCCAUGUAAGGAGAGGACCACACAAAAUUAAGAACAGCCAUGGUGGACCCAGGUAGGAACCCCAUUCUUGGGGGCAGUCAGCAGUGGCACUGGCCUAAUGUCAGUUGAAAUAUCCCUUUUUCUCUCAAGAAAAGCUCUGUAUCUAGUGUACAUCUUCACCUGUAUCAAGGCUAUGGCUCAGUGAAAUCACCAAGAAUGAUUUAAUUGACUUUUGUGUACUUUUAAUCUAAUCCUCUGAACUGUAGCAUUCUGAUAGCCAAUGUUUAGCCUUAUUCAUUUAGGAGUUCAGUUCACCUCUCACUGAGAAUUUCUGAAAGCCUUACUGAAAAAUGGAUUGGGCAUUUAGCUAUUUAUGAGAAUCUUGCUUUUAAACUGUGAGAAGAUAUCUUUUUAAUUAAUCCUCACAGAAAACAAUUGAAUGCUUGACCUACAAGGAUAAUUACUUGUGUUCUGCUUUGAUUACUUUGUAAAAGUUUUAUUGGAUUUAUAUAGUGUACUGCAUAAUAUGUGAUCUAAAAUUGGAGCUCUUUACUACAGCAUGGAGUGGAGCUUUAUACUGCAGCAUAAACUUUAUAGAAUUGACAACCAUGUUGUCUAUAUAAAAACAUCAUUCUGUAAUUAGUCUUAUUAGUAUAAUUUUUUA